rnacentral:rRNA from 1 species
UAGGGAAUCUUCGGCAAUGGGGGCAACCCUGACCGAGCAACGCCGCGUGAGUGAAGAAGGUUUUCGGAUCGUAAAGCUCUGUUGUAAGAGAAGAACGUGUGUGAGAGUGGAAAGUUCACACAGUGACGGUAACUUACCAGAAAGGGACGGCUAACUACGUGCCACCAG